AUAUCCAUUUAUUUGCUGUAAUUGUGAGAUUACUCCCUUUCUCAUGUCGAGAUCUCAACCGGCACGAAAUAGAAAGAACAUGUAUUACACGUGUGUUUUAUUAGAUAACACAGCAAAACCAAUCGAACUGGUUAAGCAAUUUAUGGUUUAAUUUUGAAAGGAUAUAAUUGUCCUUUUAUCUUCUAGAAAUAAGGAAAAGUGUCUGAACCUUAGAAAGUGCCUCAAACGUAAAAAGAUUUUCUAAAAGUGCCUAAUAGUGUAACAUUCCCUUUUACAUAUUAAUUACUUCUUUUAAAUAAAUUAAUGUAUAAAAAUCUAUUUUAAAUCACUCAUUUUUUCUUAAAAUUUGGAUUAGUUAUCUUAUAAUUUAAUUCACAUUAUCACCAAAUUUUAGCAAAAAUCAAAAUACAGUUUUAUGUUAUUAUAAAAUAAAAUAUAUCUAUUAUCUGACAGAAGACUCUCCAUAUAUAUUGGAUUACAUAUACUUAAUUUUUCUUAAUUAUUCUUUUUAUCUUAAUAUCUAGAAUCUAUUUUUUUAUUCCAUUAACACCACUAUCAAGAAGCUAAACUUUCUCAAUAUUUGAAUAUAUAAUUCAAAUUUUUGGGU
rnacentral:sRNA from 1 species